rnacentral:guide_RNA from 1 species
AUAUAUAAUAUUAUUAGUGAGAUUUUAUAUGUGAGAUUUUAAGUUAAUAA